rnacentral:rRNA from 1 species
GCAUAUCAAUAAGCGGAGGAAAAGAAACCAACAGGGAUUGCCCUAGUAACGGCGAGUGAAGCGGCAACAGCUCAAAUUUGAAAGCUGGCUCCGGCCCGCGUUGUAAUUUGCAGAGGAUGCUUCUGGCAAGGUGCCUUCCGAGUUCCCUGGAACGGGACGCCAUAGAGGGUGAGAGCCCCGUAUGGAUGGACACCAAGCCUGUGUGAAGCUCCUUCAACGAGUCGAGUAGUUUGGGAAUGCUGCUCAAAAUGGGAGGUAAAUCUCUUCUAAAGCUAAAUACCGGCCAGAGACCGAUAGCGCACAAGUAGAGUGAUCGAAAGAUGAAAAGCACCUUGAAAAGGGGGUUAAACAGUACGUGAAAUUGUUGAAAGGGAAGCGCUUGUGACCAGACUUGCGCCGGGCGGCUCAUCAGGGGUUCUCCCCUGUGCACUCCGCCCGGCUCAGGCCAGCAUCGGUUCUCGUGGGGGGAUAAGAACGGUGGGAACGUGGCCCCCUCUCGGGGGGGUGUUAUAGCCCACCGUACGAUACUCUCGUGGGGACCGAGGUUCGCGCUCCGCAAGGAUGCUGGCGUAAUGGUCAUCAGCGACCCGUCUUGAAACACGGACCAAGGAGUCGUCCAUUAGAGCGAGCGUUUGGGUGUAAAACCCGCACGCGUAAUGAAAGUGAACGCAGGUGAGAGCUUCGGCGCAUCAUCGACCGAUCCUGAUGUCUUCGGAUGGAUUUGAGUAAGAGUUUUAACGGACGGACCCGAAAGACAGUGAACUAUGCUUGUAUAGGGUGAAGCCAGAGGAAACUCUGGUGGAGGCUCGCAGCGGUUCUGACGUGCAAAUCGAUCGUCAAAUAUGAGCAUGGGGGCGAAAGACUAAUCGAACUGUCUAGUAGCUGGUUACCGCCGAAG